rnacentral:rRNA from 1 species
UGCAAGUCGAACGGCAGCACGGGGGCAACCCUGGUGGCGAGUGGCGAACGGGUGAGUAAUACAUCGGAACGUGCCCAGUCGUGGGGGAUAACGUAGCGAAAGCUACGCUAAUACCGCAUACGAUCUACGGAUGAAAGCGGGGGAUCGCAAGACCUCGCGCGAUUGGAGCGGCCGAUGGCAGAUUAGGUAGUUGGUGGGGUAAAGGCUUACCAAGCCUGCGAUCUGUAGCUGGUCUGAGAGGACGACCAGCCACACUGGGACUGAGACACGGCCCAGACUCCUACGGGAGGCAGCAGUGGGGAAUUUUGGACAAUGGGCGAAAGCCUGAUCCAGCCAUUCCGCGUGCAGGAUGAAGGCCCUCGGGUUGUAAACUGCUUUUGUACGGAACGAAACGGCCUUUUCUAAUACAAGAGGCUAAUGACGGUACCGUAAGAAUAAGCACCGGCUAACUACGUGCCAGC